CUAACUUUACCAUUUGUUUCUAAUUUACCAUUUUGCUAACUAUUGAAGCCUUCGACCAUGAAUCUAUUUUAACUGUCUCUUAUCUGCUCUAUCUCCAUUUCUCAACUGCAAGAGCCGUUUUCCUCUACUCUGUUUGUUUCAGCCUUAAUCGAGCCCCCUUUCUUAUAUCGAAGUCUUCACAACGUUUCUCUCUCCUCUACUCUCUCUCUUUCUUCCAAUAGUCUUCGACCAUGAAUCUGUUUGUUGAAUAAAGAGAUAGGGAAAGAAAGGCAUAUCACAAACUCUCUCUUUGUUGAUCUUCAUAUAUCUAUAGGAGUUGGGCAGAGGAGUUCAAUUUUUAAAGAGGAUGCCUACGAACAGGCUGGGGUUUCAAUUUUGUUGAUGUAUUUACGAAAUUAGGGUUAGGGCUUUGAUGUGUAGUACAAAAUUGGGGUUAGGGUGGGGCGGUGACGCCGGUGAACCAAGUGUGGCAAGGCAUGAGUUUUAGUGAAGCUCUAGUAUUCCGGCAAGGUAAGAGUUUCAGACAGAGCAACGGUGGCACCAGAGGAGGAGACUCGAGGAUUAAGAAAAGAAAUCCUUGCCGACGUCGAAAGAGAAGUCCAGAAUUGCCACCGCCAUUCGUCCCAGCCCUACACACCUCAACAAGCCUAAGGUACAGGACUCAGGACUUGAAGAUUUCAUUGCCUUGGAUCGUUUGGUAGCUUUAUGUAUCAAACUUGUAUUCUUUGAUUCUACGUAUGUAAAGUGUACAUAAGUACACUCCUUUUAAUGCAUUUUACAUGUAUUACAUGAGGCCAAGGGCCAUUAACUUGAAAGGUUACAAGUAUGUUUCCUCUAAAACUUAAGUAUUGCCAUUGUAGCUUAUUUGUGAGAAAUGGAGGCUUUGUAUGCUAAAACUUGUUAAUGGAAUGUAAAGAGGCUUUAGGCCAAGU